rnacentral:rRNA from 1 species
CAGCAGCCGCGGUAAUACAUAGGGGGCGAGCGUUAUCCGGAAUUAUUGGGCGUAAAGCGUACGUAGGCGGACUGUUAAGUCUGGUGUGAAAUCCCGCGGCUUAACCGCGGAGGGUCACUGGAAACUGGCAGGCUUGAGUACGGCAGGGGUAAGUGGAAUUCCAAGUGGAGCGGUGAAAUGCGUAGAUAUUUGGAGGAACACCAGUGGCGAAGGCGGCUUACUGGGCCGGAACUGACGCUGAGGUACGAAAGCGUGGGGAGCAAACAGGAUUAGAUACCCUGGUAGUCCACGCCGUAAACGAUGAGCACUAAGUGUCGGAUACAUAUUCGGCGCUGCAGUUAACACAUUAAGUGCUCCGCCUGGGGAGUACGGUCGCAAGACUGAAACUCAAAGGAAUUGACGGGGACUCGCACAAGCGGUGGAGCAUGCGGUUUAAUUCGAUGCAACGCGAAGAACCUUACCAGGUCUUGACAUCCCGGCGACCGGACUAGAAAUAGUCCUUUCCUUCGGGACGACGGAGACAGGAGGUGCAUGGCC